rnacentral:rRNA from 1 species
ACACAUGCAGUCGAACGAUGAACCACUGUCGGUGGGGAUUAGUGGCGAACGGGUGAGUAACACGUGGGCAAUCUGCCCUGCACUCUGGGACAAGCCCUGGAAACGGGGUCUAAUACCGGAUACUGACCGUCACAGGCAUCUGUGACGUUCGAAAGCUCCGGCGGUGCAGGAUGAGCCCGCGGCCUAUCAGCUUGUUGGUGAGGUAAUGGCUCACCAAGGCGACGACGGGUAGCCGGCCUGAGAGGGCGACCGGCCACACUGGGACUGAGACACGGCCCAGACUCCUACGGGAGGCAGCAGUGGGGAAUAUUGCACAAUGGGCGAAAGCCUGAUGCAGCGACNCCNCGUGAGGGAUGACGGCCUUCGGGUUGUAAACCUCUUUCAGCAGGGAAGAAGCGAAAGUGACGGUACCUGCAGAAGAAGCGCCGGCUAACUACGUGCCAGCAGCCGCGGUAAUACGUAGGGCGCAAGCGUUGUCCGGAAUUAUUGGGCGUAAAGAGCUCGUAGGCGGCUUGUCACGUCGGUUGUGAAAGCCCGGGGCUUAACCCCGGGUCUGCAGUCGAUACGGGCAGGCUAGAGUUCGGUAGGGGAGAUCGGAAUUCCUGGUGUA